ensembl:lncRNA
UCUCUGGAGAGACCUGAAAAUAGCUGUGCAGCAACGCUCCUCAUCCAACCUGAUAGAGUUUGAGAGGAUCUGCAAAGAAGAAUGGGAGAAACUCCGCAAAUACAGACAGGCAAUAUUCAGUUGAGAUGAAAGGCGAGUUCCUAACGACUUCAGAAAGCCAAGCUAGAGCUCUGUGAGAAGUCCACAGCAAUGGAGGACCUGAGUCCUAGGACCAUGCCUCAGGACUACCUGAAAUGAUGAUUCCUUGCUGUCCCCAGUCCACCUGGCCGUGCUGCUGCUCCAGUUCCAACUGUUCUGCCUGUGAUUAUUAUUAUUUGACCAUGCUGGUCAUUUAUGAACAUUUGAACAUCUUGGCCAUGUUCUGUUAUAAUCUCC